rnacentral:rRNA from 1 species
GACGAACGCUGGCGGCGUGCUUAACACAUGCAAGUCGAACGGAAAGGCCCUGCUUUUGUGGGGUGCUCGAGUGGCGAACGGGUGAGUAACACGUGAGUAACCUGCCCUUGACUUUGGGAUAACUUCAGGAAACUGGGGCUAAUACCGGAUAGGAGCUCCUGCUGCAUGGUGGGGGUUGGAAAGUUUCGGCGGUUGGGGAUGGACUCGCGGCUUAUCAGCUUGUUGGUGGGGUAGUGGCUUACCAAGGCUUUGACGGGUAGCCGGCCUGAGAGGGUGACCGGCCACAUUGGGACUGAGAUACGGCCCAGACUCCUACGGGAGGCAGCAGUGGGGAAUAUUGCACAAUGGGCGGAAGCCUGAUGCAGCAACGCCGCGUGCGGGAUGACGGCCUUCGGGUUGUAAACCGCUUUCGCCUGUGACGAAGCGUGAGUGACGGUAAUGGGUAGAGAAGCACCGGCUACCUACGUG